rnacentral:lncRNA from 1 species
UCUCUCAAACCAUUUGGCCAAAUUUGGUGGGGUUUUUUCCAACAAGUCACAUUUGAUGCCCUCUUUCCAAAAAUGUCACCAUCAUGCACCAAAACAUUACCAAUCAAAAUGGCCUUUUUGGACUUGCAUGAAUUAAUUUCAAGUGUGGUGCAAAAGUGAAAUUUUGAAUUAACCACUUCCAGCCAUUUUUGCCAAUUGAAUAAGUUCUGAAAUCAUGUUUUGGUCAUGUUUGAAGCCCAAUUUUCG